GGUCGGUUGGCCAGAGUUUCUCAUCAAGGAGUACAUGCUGUUUGCUCCCCAGAUGGACAGCCUGGAUGAGCUACAAAUCCACAGAGCCUGGGACACAAGUUGAGAAGUAGCAAAUACGAAGUGACAACUACAUUACUGUACAUGGAGUUAUUUACAGACCGAGAUGAUUGGUUUCCUAAUGAUCAUUU
rnacentral:lncRNA from 1 species